rnacentral:misc_RNA from 1 species
UGCGGUUGGUAAAACAGAAGGGAGGAAGGGGAUAUGGAUUGAAAGGGAUUGGUUUGUCGUUUCACGCAUUUAACGGAUUUCAUAUAAUUAAUAUACACCUGCAGCCUAAAUGUAUGAUUGUUAUUUUGGGAACAGAGCCAAAUGGUCCAAGAGUUUAAGCUUUGCCACGCGCCUGCAUCAAAUGGUAGAAGCAGUUGAAUUUGUUUGCCAAUCUCAGUAAAUGUGACAUCGGUUCGGUAUCCGUUAACGCCAUGAUGUUGCGUCGCCGUCAACCAACUGCAAAAAAUUCACAC